rnacentral:rRNA from 1 species
AUUCACGGAGAGUUUGAUCCUGGCUCAGGACGAACGCUGGCGGCGUGCCUAAAACAUGCAAGUCGAGCGGGGUGAGCUGAACUGGCGCAAGUCAGGGAGGCUUACCCAGCGGCGGACGGGUGAG